UCGUUGCGGACUUGUCGGAGCUCGUCACGUCGGCCGGGAGGUCGCAGCACAUCGAGAUCCGUUGCCCUGCUCACUUGCGCUCAUCGGAGGCGGCCAGAACGUGGAUCCGGACAGCGGAGCUCGCUAGGGCUCGCCUCUGCGCAGAUCCGGAGUAGGGAGGCGCUCGCCCAGCCCUCCUCACGUCGCAGUUGUGGGAGCUUCGAGGCCCGUCGCGCGCGAUUCUACCGCAGGCGCUCGCCGCUCGCUCGCCCGGGGACGAAAACGCAUGGGCUCCCUCCAUUCCCUCCACAAGCAUCAUAUGAAGCUCCCACGCUAUUGUGCUAGUCACCCCACAUCACCCUUCACUGAUUACGAACUCCAUGGCCUUGGGGGUUCGUGAUCAGUGGUGGUGUGGGGUGAGUAGCACACCACAAUUCAUGGCUACGUCGCGAGGGUAGCGUGUGGCUGGCCAGCUUGGUCCCCCAGCUAGCC
rnacentral:lncRNA from 1 species